rnacentral:rRNA from 1 species
UUUAAUUGAACAGUUUGAUCAUGGUUCAGAUUGAUCGCUGGCGGCUAGCCUAACACAUGCA